ensembl:lncRNA
CAACAUUCCACUUCUCCCUCCUCUCAGAAAAAGAAAACAAAACGAGAAAGGGAAGUUUAUUUGUCCACGAGGCCUUUUUAAACAGAAGAGGUAAUUACCUGAGUACAUCCAUUAUAUGCAGAGCUGCUCCCAUCAUCACCAAGCGUGAUUGUUAAAGUAUAGUUAAUCAGGGAAGGAAAAAAAAGAAAGCUGUUUGACUAAUGCAAAAGCAUGGACCAAAAAUUCCUCUUGUCAACCCCAUCUGGCUGGAGGCAAGAGCAGGGCUCCCCUGCAAUCCGAACCCUUAGCUUUCAACUCUGUGUCGAAAACUCUUAGCACUGUAUUUUUUUAGAACUAGUCUGCUAUGGAGAGUUACUAAACAUACAUCAGCAGCCCAACAGAGCACUAACAGGAGUACGCGGCAAUCAACUAAAUGGACCGAGCGAGAGCUGGGAAGGAGACAGCGUGGGGGAACGUUGAGUGAAUUGGUGUGUUCAUGAAAAAUGACAUGUUAAUGGUCCAACAGACUCAAGGUCCCAGGGAAAACAGAGAAGCAGUUCAAGCUCCAGGAGGGCUUUUUAAGGUAUCCUGGGGCUGCAGAGCUUGUGGAGUCACCAAGGCAUAAACCCCAUUUUUCCUCCCCUCAGUCUAAGCACAAGCAUUUCGCACAUCUAGAUACCAUGGUUUGUUUCUCCCUCUUCACAACUGCCCCCAAGGGAAGAAGAUGUACCAGUGGGAAGUAGACAUUCCCCCAGGUCAGUGAUGCUGAUGUGGGAGCCCCAGCCCCUUCCUGUGGCCCCUCCUGGCAAUGCGGGAGCAGCUAACAGGGGCCCUCCACCCCCCUUCCCCCCCCAGGCCCCAAAUGCUAACAGCUGCACCCCCAGCACAGCCAUGUAGGCAGCAGUAGCAGAGCAAGGUCACCACAGCAUGUUCUCUGACCCACAUCAAAAAAAACAGCACGUGAAGGAAUGGAAUUACAGAAGGCUGGAGCAGGCAGAAAGGCAAACAUCUCAUUUCCACAGCCCCACCACCAGGUAAUCCCAUGGAGCUCAAAAUCAAUUUGUCCUGACUUCCACAAGCAUGGAAGGAGAAUCAGGAAUCCAGUAUCUGUAAGUUACAGCCCUGAAAGGGAAGAAAUCAUACAAUUAGUAAAGCAAGGGCAUUUUUUUUUUUUCUUUUCUAAACCCAGAGCUAUCAGAACAAGAAAAAAGAAACCUCACCUUACCCAAUACAUAGAAGGGACUGACAUCGUAUGUACUUUUACUGUUACUCCCACCUGCCUUCCUCCUCACACCAGAUUUCACUCUCACUAAUGAGUUUACAAUCACACACACCUGUUCUAGAGCUAAGGUAACUUUGUACUUGGUGUAGGUCAAGGCAAGCUUUGUGGGGGUAAACGUGGUAUACACUUCUAGAUGGGAAGGAUGCUUAAUUCUGAGAUAUUCAUCUGCAAGAACCCCAAAGCUCUUCAGUAUUAGAAACCUGGAAAUUCCACCAGUUCCCACAUAUCACAACUAUUUGUGCAAGCCCUACCAACCCACGCAAACCUGAACAAAAUGACCCUCAGAGCUCUUCCCCACAUCAUGCUUUGUUUCUAGUCUGAUCGCAAGAGGGGCUGUUCCCAAGGCUGUGCCUAUGAAUGUCAUAACGUGGCCUUACAGUUAACUUUUCAUCCACGUGAGAAUAAAUGGACUUCACAACUCUGUGUGCACAUGUGUUAGCACAUGCAUGUGACAGAACCAAUUAGCAACUGAAGCAGAUACAUUUCUGGUAGUCUCUUACUCAGACAAAUUCUCUCCCUUUACCAUAUAUAUGUUAACAAAACAUAUCACAGCAUUCCAUACUGCCUUGGAUUUUCUGAAAGUGAGAGCUGUAGAGUAAUUUAAUGUCUGCAUUUACCACAUUUUUAUUGAAUACAGAAAUCAAUAACAAUCUGCUGGUCAAUAAAGUGCUGUUUAUUGAAGGCAAAAUCUUCUUGCAGGUGCUAGAAAGGAAAAAAUAGAGGAAUAAUUAAUAAGUGUUUGACAGUGGCCACUGGGCUGUAACUAAUAAGAGGAAUGUAUCAUCUGUUAGGAGAAGGUUUUCAUUUCACAGCUGCCUGGGACAUUUUUCUGGCUGCCUGCAGAAGCAGGGCAUAGGUACUUGUCUUCUCCAAUGGAUGUUUUAGCCAAGCAAGGAAAACCUUUUUUUCAUCUCUUUGAAAUAGGUUAUUGCUUGCACAGAAUCACUGUCUCCAGCAAAUCAAAACAUCACUGUUACAUUCCUACAAAGUAAACUGAGAUCUUAAUGUCCUCAUUAUCAUGUGGCUGCACCCAUUGCCUCAUCAGUGUUUAUGUCCUGAUGCCUCCGUGACACAGAGCUGGAGGGGACCUGGUCACCCCACACAGGUUGGCUUCAGCUCGUGAGAAUAAAGCAAAAGAGUGAGGAAAAGUAUGACAGUUGGUACAAUGAAAAAUAAAAGUGCCCAUAAAAACCAAGCCCUUACACCAAUGGAGGAAUAAACACACUAACUGAAAUGCACUGAUUAGUUAUGCUAUCUUUGGGAACCUCCUCUACUGCUUCUGGUUUCCAACCCCUGCAGCAAAGCAGCAAAGAUAGCCUAGCCACACUGAACCCAAACCCAGGUGUUGAAUGUGCAUUGUCUUUAUUUAGCCAGUUUGUAACCUGAUUUCCUCCAGAUGAAGACAGAAAGAAGAAAGAAGGGGACUGCAGUGAGUCUACAGGCAUGUUUCAAAUCCUUUGCCUGGACAGCUGGGCCCCAUUGGUAAGCCCUUUCUUGCUGUGCUGUAUCAAUAUCCAAACAACUCAAGUGCACCUUUGGCUUUCUUUUGCUUUGCAUGCUCUGUUUCCUCCUUCGGUGCUAUUAUACUUCAGUUGGAGUGAUCACUCUAUAUUAUCCCACUGUUGUGACCCUCGGGUGCCACAGCUAUUAGAUUACGCUGCCCCAUCCAUGAAGACAUGGAUAUCGAUAGUACCUGUACAUCCUCCCUGAUGAACUGCUAACCACUACAAUACCACCCUGGGGGAGGAAGCAUUUCAAAUGCCCAAGAAAUGAAAACUAGAGGGGAAAGAAGACAAAGCCACAAAGAAACAAGGUGUUUGCCUGUAUGGAAUACAUGUCUGAGGAAUAACAGCCUUCAAGUUGACACUGCUGCUGCUGCUUUUAUAGAAGUGUGAACAAAGAAUGGAGCUGUUCAGGUAAGAGAAAUAAUUAAGCCCGUAAUCAGUCAUAUGUCUCCAGAUGGAGACUCAUUAGCUUUUCAGGCAACGUGCAUUAAAAUUAUGACAAGUUCAUAGCAAAGUCCAAGCAAUUCAAACACCUCCCCAGCAUGUCUCUGGCCUGUAAGGUUUCCUUUUAACCCUCAUUGUUGUAACAUGUUAGUUAAAGGUAAUGAGGGAAGUGCUCCGGCGUUGAACCCAAUCCAUACACCAUCUGAUGUGAAGGCAUUAGGAUGUAAACAGGCUGACAUUUCGUAUAUUUAGGGUUUAAUCUAUAUGUAAAUUUCCCAAGCGUACUUAAAUAAAAAAUAAUUCACAAAAAUUUACGUUUACAACACAG